UACAGAGGGUGCGAGCGUUAAUCGGAGUUACUGGGCGUAAAGGGCGCGUAGGCGGUUAUAUAAGUGAGAUGUGAAAUCCCUGGGCUUAACCUAGGAACUGCAUCUCAUACUGUAUGACUGGAGUAUUGUAGAGGGUAGUGGAAUUUCCGGUGUAGCGGUGAAAUGCGUAGAGAUCGGAAGGAACACCAGUGGCGAAGGCGGCUACCUGGACAAAUACUGACGCUGAGGCGCGAGAGCCGUGGGG
rnacentral:rRNA from 1 species